GGGCUGGUAGCUCAGCCUGGCAAGGGUUUCGUUCCAACAAAAAUCGGAGAGAUUUUUGAGGUGCCAAAAGCUUUGCUUUUGAGAACCUUGAUCCCGAAGAGCGACAUUCGACUUCAGCAAAAAUCAAAGAUUUUUGAGAUUCAGAAAUCUUCAGAUUUCUGUAAUUGUCGAAGUCCCUCGGAAAAGAAACGAAUCGUUGGGCAAUAGAGCAUCGCCUUCGCAAGGCGGGGGCCCCGGGUUCAAAACAACCCUUUUCAGCGUUGAUGGGGAAAACUCAUGAAAAAGGAAAGUGAAAGUCCCGGCCAGUCCA
rnacentral:tRNA from 1 species